rnacentral:rRNA from 1 species
UCCUGGCUUAGGAUGAACGCUGGCGGCGUGCCUAACACAUGCAAGUCGAGCGGAGAUAAGUUGAAGCCUAGCGAUUCUUAUCUUAGCGGCGGAUGGGUGAGUAACACGUGGGUAACCUGCCCUGUACUGGGGAAUAACAGCUGGAAACGGCUGUUAAUGCCGCAUAUGCGCACGGAGCCGCAUGGCUUUGGGCGGAAAGAUUUAUCGGUACAGGAUGGGCCCGCGCCGGAUUAACUAGUUGGCGGGGUAACGGCCCACCAAGGUGAUGAUCCGUAGCCGACCUGAGAGGGUGACCGGCCACAUUGGGACUGAGACACGGCCCAAACUCCUACGGGAGGCAGCAGUGGGGGAUAUUGCACAAUGGGGGAAACCCUGAUGCAGCGACGCCGCGUGAAGGAUGACGUAUUUCGGUAUGUAAACUUCUAUCAGCGGGGAAGAAGAUGACGGUACCCGACUAAGAAGCCCCGGCUAACUACGUGCCAGCAGCUGC